UAGCCGCAGAAGUCUGUGCUAAGGUAGCAUAAUCAUUUGUCUUUUAAUUAAAGACUAGAAUGAAAGGUUAAAUGAAUAAAAAAAAUUAAUAAUAUAAUAAAUUUAAAUUAAACUGAUUGUAAAAAUACAAUAAUAAUAUUAAAAGACGACAAGACCCUAUCGAACUUAACACAUGUUAUACUGGGAAAGUAUUUUAAUAAAAAUUUUAAAACAUAAUACAAAAAUUUAUCUUUUAAAAAAAUAUAAAAGUUACCUUAGGGAUAACAUCUCAAUUUAUUUUUAAAGUUCUUAUUAAAAAAUAAGAUUACGACUUCGAUGUUGAAUUAAUAUAUCAAGUAAAUGCAAAAUUUUACUAAAAAGUCUGUUUGACUUUUAAAAAAUUACAUGAUCUG
rnacentral:rRNA from 1 species